rnacentral:miRNA from 1 species
UCCACUGUGUACCACCACCAUA